rnacentral:rRNA from 1 species
UGGGGAAUUUUGGACAAUGGGCGAAAGCCUGAUCCAGCAAUGCCGCGUGUGUGAAGAAGGCCUUCGGGUUGUAAAGCACUUUUGUCCGGAAAGAAAUCCUUGGCUCUAAUACAGUCGGGGGAUGACGGUACCGGAAGAAUAAGCACCGGCUAACUACGUGCCAGCAGCCGCGGUAAUACGUAGGGUGCAAGCGUUAAUCGGAAUUACUGGGCGUAAAGCGUGCGCAGGCGGUUUGCUAAGACCGAUGUGAAAUCCCCGGGCUCAACCUGGGAACUGCAUUGGUGACUGGCAGGCUAGAGUAUGGCAGAGGGGGGUAGAAUUCCACGUGUAGCAGUGAAAUGCGUAGAGAUGUGGAGGAAUACCGAUGGCGAAGGCAGCCCCCUGGGCCAAGUACUGACGCUCAUGCACGAAAGCGUGGGGAGCAAACAGGAUUAGAUACCCUGGUAGUCCACGCCCUAAACGAUGUCAACUAGUUGUUGGGGGAUUCAUUUUCCUUAGUAACGUAGCUAACGCGUGAAGUUGACCGCCUGGGGAGUACGGUCGCAAGAUUAAAACUCAAAGGAAUUGACGGGGUCAUGCUGUUUCCU